GACGAACGCUGGCGGCGUGCUUAACACAUGCAAGUCGAACGGAAAGGCCCUGCUUGCAGGGUGCUCGAGUGGCGAACGGGUGAGUAACACGUGGGUGAUCUGCCCCUUACUUUGGGAUAAGCCUGGGAAACUGGGUCUAGUACUGGAUAGGACCAUGCUGUAGGUGGUGUGGUGGAAAGAUUAGUUUCGGUAAGGGAUGAGCUCGCGGCCUAUCAGCUUGUUGGUGGGGUAAUGGCCUACCUAGGCGUCGACGGGUAGCCGGCCUGAGAGGGUGGACGGCCACAUUGGGACUGAGAUACGGCCCAGACUCCUACGGGAGGCAGCAGUGGGGAAUAUUGCACAAUGGGCGCAAGCCUGAUGCAGCGACGCCGCGUGGGGGAUGACGGCCUUCGGGUUGUAAACUCCUUUCAGCCAUGACGAAGCCCUUGUGGUGACGGUAGUGGUAGAAGAAGCACCGGCUAACUACGUG
rnacentral:rRNA from 1 species